rnacentral:rRNA from 1 species
UCGUAGUGACCUGCGGAAGGAUCAUUG